CCUACGGGUGGCAGCAGUGAGGAAUAUUGGUCAAUGGGCGUAAGCCUGAACCAGCCAAGUCGCGUGAGGGAUGAGGGCUCUAUGGAUCGUAAACCUCUUUUAUAAGGGAAUAAAGUGCGGGACGUGUCCCGUUUUGUAUGUACUUUAUGAAUAAGGAUCGGCUAACUCCGUGCCAGCAGCCGCGGUAAUACGGAGGAUCCGAGCGUUAUCCGGAUUUAUUGGGUUUAAAGGGUGCGUAGGUGGCUUUUUAAGUCAGCUGUGAAAGUCUGUGGCUCAACCAUAGAAUUGCCGUUGAAACUGGGAGUCUUGAGUAUGUUUGAGGCAGGCGGAAUGCGUGGUGUAGCGGUGAAAUGCUUAGAUAUCACGCAGAACCCCGAUUGCGAAGGCAGCCUACCAAGCCAUGACUGACGCUGAUGCACGAAAGCGUGGGGAUCAAACAGGAUUAGAUACCCUUGUAGUC
rnacentral:rRNA from 1 species